UACGUAGGGUGCGAGCGUUGUCCGGAAUUAUUGGGCGUAAAGGGCUCGUAGGCGGUUUGUCGCGUCGGGCGUGAAAAUCCAGGGCUUAACUCUGGACUGGCUUCCGAUACGGGCAGACUAGAGGUAUGCAGGGGAGAACGGAAUUCCUGGUGUAGCGGUGAAAUGCGCAGAUAUCAGGAAGAACACCAAUGGCGAAGGCAGCUCUCUGGGACGGUACUGACGCUGAGACGCGAAAGCGUGGGGAGCGAACAGG
rnacentral:rRNA from 1 species